CCUACGGGCGGCAGCAGUGGGGGAUAUUGCACAAUGGGGGAAACCCUGAUGCAGCGACGCCGCGUGGGUGAAGAAGCGCCUCGGCGCGUAAAGCCCUGUCAGCAGGGAAGAAAAGGACGGUACCUGAAGAAGAAGCCCCGGCUAACGACGUGCCAGCAGCCGCGGUAAUACGUAGGGGGCAAGCGGUAUCCGGAUUGACUGGGGGUAAAGGGGGCGCAGACGGGGCUGCAAGCCAGGAGUGAAAGCCCGGGGCCCAACCCCGGGCCUGCGCUUGGAACUGCGUGGCUAGAGUGCAGGAGGGGCAGGCGGAAUUCCUGGUGUAGCGGUGAAAUGCAUAGAUAUCAGGCGGAACACCGGUGGCGAAGGCGGCCUGCUGGACUGCAACUGACGUUGAGGCCCGAAAGCGUGGGGAGCAAACAGGAUUAGAUACCCGAGUAGUC
rnacentral:rRNA from 1 species